UUCUAUAGUGGAGGAGUCAAAGAAUUCCUUGCUACAAUUAAACAACAUGUUCUUCUUCUGAGAUCCGCCGAAGAUGCAAAUGUGUUCCUUGUGAAUGAUUCUCAGCAUACACUGCAGUGCAGAAACUGGAGAAGAAAGGACAAAAUGUAAUUUUGAGGUCCCAAUAUAAGAAGCUUAAGCCAGAAUGGGUGUGUUCAUGUAGCCGUGUCUCAGAUUUUGGUCUAAUGAAGACAAACAAUAAAGGAAGGGUGAUUUCAUUCAGUGAGAAGCCUAAAGAAUAAGACCUGAAAGCAAUACAAGUAGAUACAACACUCUUGGAACUUUCACAGGAAGGGGCUGAAAAGAAACCAUACAUUGCUUCCAUGGGAGUGUAUGUGUUCAAGAAGGACUUACUUCUUAAUCUACAAAGAUUGUUGACUCAAUAGUAUCGCAUGGAUGAAUUCCGUGGAAGGACAGAGUAAAUAGAAUCCUAGGAUUGGACUUAUUUCGGUUUAAGCAAACAUUUUCUUGAAUUUGACUAUGUAAUUCU